rnacentral:lncRNA from 1 species
CACAAAGCUCCAUUGUCAUCAGCAUUCUGUGCAUAAAGCUGCUGUGUGCUGAGGAGCUGCCAGGUACAUUAACUCUUGUCAACUUAACGGAGAUUUGUUAUAAGUGAAGCUGACUCCUUCGUAAGAAGUUCAGGCUGAGCCUUGACACUUAAUCUAAAUACUGAAGCUGAGGAGAUUUUACUGGAGGAAUCCCCACGUGAAGGAGGAGAAAGAGUUGGUUUGCAGGACCAACUGUCUGGCAUGUUGACUUGGGCUCCUGUGUGCUUCCCAUCCCAAGCUUUGCAGUGCCUAGCGGCGGAAAUAAGGUUUUUCUUCUUGUAAGAUGCCUGCCCCUCUUCUGAGAAAUAUGAAGAAAGGAGACCUAAGUGACCCUCAGCUGGAACAGAAAUAGAAGAAAAACGUCAUCCUGGAAAUAUAUUCACUGACCAGAGAAGGGGAAAAUGCUCUUUUGUAACAAGCAAAAAAAUAUAGUCAAGUAAGGUUUUUAUUUUUAGUUUAGUCUGUCAUCUUAGAAUGAUUGUCUUUCAGACAGUACCAUUCAUUUAUUGUGCUAGUUAAGUAUUUCUUUUGUGAUCUAUUCUAAUGUUCAUGUCCUUUACUCUAAAACUACAGUCUAACCAGUUUUUCCCAUUUUGUAUGUAGGUGAUUAUUUCUAUUCCUGUCUUAUGGGAUCUUCUGAACA